GUAAGGAAGAGAGGUCAAGGGUCAGUGGGGGAGAUGGGGAGGAAUCCAGUUCCUCUGGGGGACAACUACUUUAAAAUUGGGGAGAGGGGAUGGCACUGGGAGAAAAUAACCAGGAGGAAAGUGGAGCCGACUCUGACGAACGGGGGGGAGGCGUUCCCUCCUCAGCGACGGUCAGGCCUGGCCCGGGAGCCCGGGCGGACGCUGCAGGGUGGGAACCUGCCAAAACUGGAGAGGCCCAGGCACCACCAGGCGUCUCUGCACCACGAAAAAAAAAAAACUUUUAGAAUCUUCGUCUCGGUCCGCCUGGAUGAGUUUGGGCCUGGGAAAUUGAGAGAAAAGGAGAGAGAGAGAGAGGAGCGAAAGGCGUUCGGGUGCCGGCCGGGCGUACAGACGCCUUGCUCGCCCCAGCCGCCCAGCCCGCAGUGGCAGCCACGCUGUGCGCGUGUCUCUUUCUCCUUCUGCUCAAACCAGCCCCCACAUCUUGAAGUAAUCAGCAGCCGAGAAGGGACUCGUCCCCCUGGCAUCUCAGGUUAAAGAAGGAGGUCCAGGAAAAUGUGGUAGAGCCAUUACAAGAAACCCGAGCCGCAGUCAUCAGGGACUCCAAUUGCCAUCGCAUUAGGAUUGAUUAGAGACCAGCAGUACCGUAAUGACCCGGAAAGAGGGGCAGCCGGGGAUUAUUAAUAUCAGAAUGUGGCGGGGAGGGAGAGUGAAGGGAGGGAGGGAAGAGCAAAGUGGGGAGGGAGAAGUUUUAAGUUACUAGGAUUUAUAUAUAAGUGCAGGCUUACCUGAGGAAACCGGAUAGUCAGUGAAUCACGCGAACAAUAAAUCUAAUUGCAUCUGAAAUUCCACGAAGCCUGAUUUUUUUGGAGGGAUGAAGUAAAAUCGUCGCGAAAACUGGGCCAACACCUUAGUUUUUCUAAACACGUAGUUACAUAAACUUAUUGUAAGAGUCCAAGUGAAGAGCUGAGGAGGGGGAGUGGACAUUUUUGCAGUCUGCAGAGGAGCAGUAAACCAAAUUUUAAUUGAAACAGUGAUACCUGGGUAGUGGUUUUUGUAUUUUGUUUUGUUUGAGAAACCAGUGAUCAGGAUCCCUAAGAGAUGUAGAGAAGAGAGUGGUUUGUCUCCUUCCUACGACUAUGAGCCAAAACAAAUCAGCCCC
rnacentral:lncRNA from 1 species